rnacentral:rRNA from 1 species
GCCCGAGUUGCAGACAUCCAAUCUGGACUACGAUAGGCUUUUUGAGAUUCGCAUCACAUCGCUGUGUAGCUGCCCUCUGUACCUACCAUUGUAGCACGUGUGUAGCCCUGGUCGUAAGGGCCAUGAUGACUUGACGUCGUCCCCGCCUUCCUCCAGUUUGUCACUGGCAGUAUCCUUAGAGUUCCCGGCUUAACCCGCUGGUAACUAAGGACAAGGGUUGCGCUCGUUGCGGGACUUAACCCAACAUCUCACGACACGAGCUGACGACAGCCAUGCAGCACCUGUAUUCUAAUUCCCGAAGGCACUCCCGCAUCUCUGCAGGAUUCUAGAUAUGUCAAGACCAGGUAAGGUUCUUCGCGUUGCAUCGAAUUAAACCACAUGCUCCACCGCUUGUGCGGGCCCCCGUCAAUUCAUUUGAGUUUUAACCUUGCGGCCGUACUCCCCAGGCGGUCUACUUAUUGCGUUAGCUGCGUCACUAAGUCCUCAAGGGACCCAACGACUAGUAGACAUCGUUUACGGCGUGGACUACCAGGGGUAUCUAAUCCUGUUUGCUACCCACGCUUUCGAGCCUCAGUGUCAGUAUGAUGCCAGGAAGCUGCCUUCCCCCAUCGGUAUUCCCUCC